GGGUGUUUAGCUCAGUUGGUAGAGUGACGCCCUUACAAGGCGUAGGUCGGGAGUUCAAUUCUCUCAACACCCACCA
rnacentral:tRNA from 1 species